rnacentral:rRNA from 1 species
AAAGGCUGCGGUAUUUUGACCGUACAAAGGUAGCAUAAUCAUUAGUUUUUUAAUUGGAAACUCGUAUGAAUGGUUAAACGAAGCAUAAGCUGUUUCAAAGAAAAUUUUAUAGAAGUUAAUUUUUUAGUAAAAAAGCUAAAAUAAAAUUAAAAGACGAGAAGACCCUAUAGAGUUUCAUACUAAUUUAAUUAUAGUUUAUAAAUAAUAAUUAAAUCUUUAGUUAUUUUUGUAUUUUGUUGGGGUGACAAUAAAAUUUAAAUAUCUUUUAUUAUUUUUAAAACAAUGAUUAUUGAUUAAUUGAUCCAUUUUUAGUGAUUAUAAGAUUAAAUUACCUUAGGGAUAACAGCG